AGGCACAACAAGAAAUCUCCUCCAAGAAACUCUUCUCUCGCCCUACUGUAAUAACCGGGGAGCAUAUAAUUCGGCCAAAUAUAAAUCAAACACUGAAUAGGAUGUUGCAGAAGGAAGUACAAAGGCCGUUGAAGAUCAAUUCUAUGGAUAUUCCACUACCGAUCCAAGCAACGAGGACGACAUUCUUAGAAUAGUGUUGCUUCUUCAUUAUUAUGGUUGUCAAAAAUAAAUACUUAGAGUUCUAA